rnacentral:rRNA from 1 species
AUUGAACGCUGGCGGCAGGCCUAACACAUGCAAGUCGAACGAGUGGCGGACGGGUGAGUAAUGUCUGGGAAACUGCCUGAUGGAGGGGGAUAACUCCUGGAAACGGUAGCUAAUACCGCAUACCAUCAGAUGUGCCCAGAUGGGCUUAGCUAGUUGGUGGGGUAACGGCUCACCAAGGCGACGAUCCCUAGCUGGUCUUAGAGGAUGACCGGCCACACGUGAACGGAGACACGGUCCAGACUCCUACGGGAGGCAUCAGUGGGAAAUAGUGAACAAUGGGCGCAAGCCUGAUGCAGCCAUGCCGCGUGUAUGAAGAAGGCCGUCGGGUUGUAAAGUACUUGCAGCGGGGAGGCGUUACCCGCAGAAGAAGCACCGGCUAACUCCGUGCCAGCAGCCGCGGUAAUAC